AGAACGAACGCUGGCGGCAGGCUUAACACAUGCAAGUCGAACGGAUGUAGCAAUACAUCAGUGGCAGACGGGUGAGUAACACGUGGGAACCUUCCUCGUUGUACGGAACAACUCAGGGAAACUUGAGCUAAUACCGUAUACGUCCGAGAGGAGAAAGAUUUAUCGCAAUGAGACGGGCCCGCGUCGGAUUAGCUAGUUGGUGGGGUAACGGCCUACCAAGGCGACGAUCCGUAGCUGAUCUGAGAGGAUGAUCAGCCACACUGGGACUGAGACACGGCCCAGACUCCUACGGGAGGCAGCAGUGGGGAAUCUUGGACAAUGGGCGCAAGCGUGACGCAGCAACGCCGCGUGGGGGAAGACGGCCUUCGGGUUGUAAACCCCGUUUCAGGAGGGACGAAGGCCGAGCGGUUAAUAGCCGACUCGGUUGACGGUACCUCCACAAGAAGCCCGGCUAACUACGUGCCAGCAGCCGC
rnacentral:rRNA from 1 species